rnacentral:rRNA from 1 species
UACGUAGGGAGCGAGCGUUGUCCGAAGUUACUGGGCGUAAAGCGCGCGUAGGCGGGCUGUUAAGUGAGAGGUGAAAGGCUGGGGCUCAACCCCAUGCAGUGCCUCUCAUACUGGCGGUCUUGAAUUCGGCAGGGAGAAGUGGAAUGGCUGGUGUAGCGGUGAAAUGCGUAGAUAUCGGGAGGAACACCUAUGGCGAAGGCAGCUCGCUGGGACGUUACUGACGCUGAGACGCGAAAGCGCGGGGAGCAAACAGG